UUGCCAUCAUUGAGUUGGGCACUCUAAGAGACUGCCGGUGGUCAAACCGGAGGAAGGUGGGGAUGACGUCAAGUCCUCAUGGCCUUUAUGACCAGGGCUACACACGUACUACAAUGGCCGGUACAAAGGGCAGCGACACAGCGAUGUGAAGCGAAUCCCGAAAAGCCGGUCUCAGUCCGGAUUGGAGUCUGCAACUCGACUCCAUGAAGUUGGAAUCGCUAGUAAUCGCAGAUCAGCAUGCUGCGGUGAAUACGUUCCCGGGUCUU
rnacentral:rRNA from 1 species